rnacentral:lncRNA from 13 species
GGUUAUGGUGAGGUUACAGUAGUGAACAGGUUACAGUAGUGAACAGGUUACAGUAGUGAACAGGUUAUGGUGAGGUUACAGUGGUGAAACUGAAGACCUCCUCUGAUGAACACAUUUACAGUAGCUCUGGUCCAGCUCUGUGCUCCAACGAUCGUCGUCGUGAGAGAGUAGCCCGAACCACGCCCUGGACCAGAGCUACAUUUACAGUAGCUCUGGUCCAGCUCUGUGCUCCAACGAUCGUCGUCGUGAGAGAGUAGCCCGAACCACGCCCUGGACCAGAGCUACAUUUACAUAGUUACAGAGGAGGGAAGUUACUGAAUUUACAAAGCGUAAUAAUAUUAAUUUUUACCAUCCAUUCAGAAUCCCGACCGAUUCUGGUACUUCUCCUGUUCUGUUCCUUGUUACUGUUACGUUACGCCUCCUCCUUCGCCUUUCUGUAACUGAUAUAUGUCCUGCAAAGUGCACAUAAAAUGUUGGAAUGUCAUUCAAUUCAGCGUUGGUCUGACUGACACAGAAGUGGUUGAAUAAAGACCAUGCUUGUUUCUCUAGCUACCAUCUGGCAUGUUACCUUUUCAUCACAGCUUAUUAUACUGUAAAGUUAUGACCACAAAACAACUCCAAACGUGUACACAGCGCCACCCUCACAAAAACAAAACAAUUCAAGUUGAUUUAAAGUGUUUUGUUCUACUUAUCAGAAUUUUUUGUUGUUUUUUUGCAAUUUUAUGUCUCAAGAAACAUCUAGUGACUUAAUUGAAUGGUUUUUCCUCGUGCUGUUUAACAUUGUACAAAAAAUGUUUUAGAAUAAUAGUGAAAUGGAAAACCAAACGGAACCUGUUCAUUGGCAGCGUUUAACUGUUCUGCAUUGAGUAGAGGCU